rnacentral:misc_RNA from 1 species
UUUCCGUAGGUGAACCUGCGGAAGGAUCAUUAACGAGUUUUGACAUGGGUUGCAGCUGGCCUUCCGAGGCAUGUGCACGCCCUGCUCAUCCACUCUACACCUGUGCACUUACUGUGGGAUUUCAGGUGCGUCGCUUUGCGGCGGCGUCACUCGGCCCACGUUUUCUUUACAAACUAUUGAAGUAACAGGAUGUUUAUUGAUGUAACGCAUCUAUAAUACAACUUUCAGCAACGGAUCUCUUGGCUCUC